UGGGAGCUGAGCCCCAGGGCAGAUGCGAGGUGUAGGAGGCUGGGGAACCGGGAGCGCCUGCGGGGUGCAAAUAGGCGAAGGCACCGGUGUCAGGGGGAACGCGUCCGUUACCGCCCGCCUCCCGCAGGUCUACGUCAAACUAGAUCCUGGCUUCUGGGUUCCUGACCUCGUUUGGCCUCAGAACCAUCCAUGCAACAUUGGGGCUAUCACUUCGCCUCCCUCGGUUGAAGAGUUCCCACUUGAACCCCUAUCUCCUCGUCUUUUACUUCCCAAGCCACCUCGCUUCUGUGAAAGGUCUGCAGGCUUGUCUACCUCCUCUCAGCUUGCUCUGCAUGCCUUGGGGAAGCUGCAUAAAGCAUGGAUCAUGAAGGAGGGGAGCGGAGAAGAGGGAAAUGCAUGUUUCCACAAAUGGACCAUGAGCCCACCAGGCAGACUCCAGAUGGGGAAAAAAAAACCCUCACAUUAUCAUGUGACUUACACAAGAAAAAAGGUACCCGCAAAGGGCCAAGGGACCAGAGAGGAGAACUUGAGAGGUAUCCUGGAGGAGGCGACUUUUGAUGUGAGCUUUCUAGGACUUCCUGAUCCAUUUGCUAAGGUGGUGGUUGAUGGAUCUGGGCAAUGCCAUUCUACAGAUACUGUGAAGAAUACACUCGAUCCAAAGUGGAAUCAGCAUUAUGACCUAAGGCGUAAAGAAAAGCCCAGUGGGAAUGUGCUUCGGCUUAUAGACAGGUUCUGAAAGAUGAAGUAUCCCUUAAAUUCUAUGAAGAACAAAAUGAAACUGGCUCACAGUAGAGCAGUCCCCCACCUCUUUUUUCAAUUAAAUAAAGAAUUUACCAACCUUUUCAAAUCAUGGUGCACAUAAAAAAUAUGGCACAUUGGACUACACAGAUGAAGUUGCUUAAGCCAGUGGUGCGUUGCCCUGAGGACUAAGGUAAUCAAUAUAUGUAUUUCAGCAUACCUGUAAACCAGGCUUACUAAUUGGACAACUGGUUUAAUGUGACUUUUGAAAAAAAUGUUUGGUUUGGGUAAUUCAGCUACUUAAUACUGGAUUCUGGCUCUGGAAUUACAUGCCGGUAGAUACAUGCCAAGACAGAUCUGGUAGGUGUAUUUGAAAAUUGGUACAUGUAUACUGAACAAUAUUUUAGUUCAGAUCUUUUCAUUUGCAAGCAACAGAGACCAAGUUCAAAUCGGCUUUAUUUUUUUAAAAGGGAAUGUACCAAUUUGCAUAAUGAAAAGCCCAGGGGUGGGCAUUUUUUAGGCACAGCUGGAUCCCGGGGCUCAAGUGUACCUUCCAUGUUCCUUAUUUGAAAUCUUUAGUCCUUACUUAAGUGGUUUAGGCUUUUCUCUAUAGUGGGUGAAUUUUUCUGAUAUUGCUAAUUUAUUGAGUUAGCAAUACUUUAGACUAAAACUUUGACCUCUUAAUGUCAUUGAAAUAGCGCUAGGAUUCUACUGACAUAAUUA